GAAAUCCCACUUCCAGCUAGAUGUCUGCAUGAACUACUGAAAGCUGCUGAGUGUCUUGCAGCAGGUGAGCUGUGGCCAGAGCUCAAGGAUGAAGGGGACUCCCUCACUCUGUGACUGUGAAGAGGAAGCCUGAGGUGUAGCAGGCCCAGGUCCCAGAAGUAUGGAAAAAAUGAGCAUUUCAUCCCAAAGAUGCAGCCGACUUGAUUGUGGUGGAUAAGCUUUUUGAUGUGCUGCUGGAUUCUGUUUGCUAGUAUUUUAUUAAGAAUUUUUGCAUUAAUGUUCAUCAGGGAUAUUGGCCUGGAUUGAGCAGGCCAUUUCCAAUCCAGCGGAAGACCUUCUAGAAGAGGUGAUGGGUGGGAGAGUGCUGGCAUACUAUGUGAAGCUACUAUUUGGAGUUGGACACGAGUGCAUGUGACCUUGUGCCACAGCGGGAAUGUGAGCUGGAUGACAAAUGGAGAUUUGGACUUGUGAUAAUUGGCCUCUGUGUCAUUGUGUGGAAGACUGACUGGUCCCUUUAUUUCCUGUAGCUUGACUACCACACAAAUGAAUCCACUCAAAUGUUGGCAAGUGGAGCAGAGUCCCAGGACAGGUACAGAAACACCCCCAGUUCAAGGAUCUUCACACCUGGAUUUAGGCCUACUCCUGCAACUACCCCAGAACCUGGAAUUUAUAUGUUCAACAUGGAGCCAUCCCAGCCAUGACAACAGAGAAUGUACCACUCUCACGCCAGUUAUCCAGGCAGUGACUUUCAGUGCAGCUACAGUCACCUCUGGAAACCUGCGGAGACUUUAAAAAUUUCCAGAAGAGUUACUAUGAAUUAUUAUAUUGUGGCUACUUACACCAAGAUGAAGAUAAUUUAUUAGUUCAGGAAGAACCUGCAUUCUGAAGGCAAAUG
rnacentral:lncRNA from 1 species